rnacentral:rRNA from 1 species
AGUGAACGCUGGCGGUAGGCCUAACACAUGCAAGUCGAACGGCAGCACAGUAAGAGCUUGCUCUUACGGGUGGCGAGUGGCGGACGGGUGAGGAAUACAUCGGAAUCUACUUUUUCGUGGGGGAUAACGUAGGGAAACUUACGCUAAUACCGCAUACGACCUGCGGGUGAAAGCAGGGGAUCUUCGGACCUUGCGCGAUUGAAUGAGCCGAUGUCGGAUUAGCUAGUUGGCGGGGUAAAGGCCCACCAAGGCGACGAUCCGUAGCUGGUCUGAGAGGAUGAUCAGCCACACUGGAACUGAGACACGGUCCAGACUCCUACGGGAGGCAGCAGUGGGGAAUAUUGGACAAUGGGCGCAAGCCUGAUCCAGCCAUACCGCGUGGGUGAAGAAGGCCUUCGGGUUGUAAAGCCCUUUUGUUGGGAAAGAAAAGCAGCAGGUUAAUACCUCGCUGUUCUGACGGUACCCAAAGAAUAAGCACCGGCUAACUUCGUG